CUGCUGCUCCAUGGCUGAGGUUAGGCAUCUGUUUCACUCUCCUUUCUUCUCUCCUAUCUCACUUGGAUUUUCCUACCUGGCUCCACCCUGCCCUGCCAUAGGCCAAUGCAGCUUUAUUUAUCAACCAAUCAGAGCAACACAUAUUCACAGCGU